CUUGUCGCGCCGCCGCCGAGGCCCGCCCCACUGACCGUGGCGCCUGAAGGGGCGGAGGAAAGCGCUUCCGCGCAAGCGCAUUCGCGUGCUGUCGCCUUCUAGAGAAGUUACUGCGCAGGUUCGCGUGGAACCUACGGAGAGACCAGUAGGUCUUGGAGGGCUAGGAUUCCUUUGAUGGGAGCAGAGAAAUUGUUACCACAUUUUCCACAAUUUGACCACCGCUUCCCACCCUCCAACUUGGUCUGCUAUUCUCCCCUUCCCAGAAAGUUUAGCGCACUUCGCAAGGCCGCGUUAUGACUUUCGUGGAACCGCGACACAUUGGCCUUGCGUUUGUGGAGUCCUAGAUUGGAGCGUGGCAAAGAGAUGUUCAUCAUCGGCAUGUGGUGUAGAUGACACAAGCUGGCGGUCAGCUGGAAGAUAAAGCAAAUGUACAAGGGGCUACCCAUUCCUAGGGAGAGAGAAUUGGGAUCA